GCGGGAAUAGCUCAGUUGGUAGAGCACGACCUUGCCAAGGUCGGGGUCGCGAGUUCGAGUCUCGCGUUUCCCGCUCCA
rnacentral:tRNA from 1 species